UAAUAAAGAAGUAAUACUUGUUUAUGAAUUUACAAUCCACCGCCUAACUCAGCCACUUUAUC
rnacentral:tRNA from 1 species